GGCAUCGGCUCGGGCUUGGGUUCUGGCUUUGGCAUCGGCUCCGGCUUGGGUUCCGGCUUGGGCUCUGGCUUUGGCAUGGGUUCAGGCUUAGGCAUAGGUUUGGGCUCCGGCUUUGGCAUGGGUUCAGGCUUAGGCAUAGGUGUGGGCUCCGGCUUCGGCAUGGGUUCAGGUUUAGGCAUAGGCUUGGGCUCCGGGUACGGCGUGGGCUUGGGCUCUGGCUCGGGGAGCUUCUCGGCGAGGCCCCGGCCAGCAGCGGCCGCGAGGCUGAAGCCGGAGGCCGCGAGCAGCCCGACGAGGAGCACGGCAAGGAGGCUGUGCCUCGCCAUUGCUGCUUUCUCGCAGCUGUUGCUGCACUUGUGCUUCACCGCUUCCGAACCUCUCAACGGGCGAUGGAUAGAUAAAGUGGAUGUGGUGUGUGGUUCCUCUGAAUGGUGGUGUGGAGAACCGGAGAUGGCAUAUGUCCCGGCUUUAUAGCGCUGAGCAGCCAAGCAGGCCCAGACGCGUGUGCCACACUCCCGGCGCCGGUGGGUCUGCUUGUGGAUCAGGUUACCCCAACCUUUUCAGUUUUCAUCUGCCGUCUGCCGUCUGCACCUUCCUUCCUUCCGACUGCAAAGCUAGCUAGGUAAGAUGCCCGAGGUACGGCUGGCGGUGGCCGGUGGCCCGUCGCCGUCGCGCCUUGAAACCCAUGUCGGAUCUUCAUUUCUCCGUUGCGCGUAGCAUCCGACGACGGCUGAUGGGUGCGGGUCAAGUCCGAGGACGACUGUUUCUAGCAGCUAGCAGCAGCAGCAGAUAGCCGGCAGCCGGUGGGGCACUGAAGGUUAAAACCCCAGCCUGACGGCAUCAUCAUCAACUCUUUUAUGCGCCGUACUGUUCACGUGGUUGAUUACAAAGAGAAGGUACGAAAAAGUAAGCACUAGUUGUGGUCGCCAGGCAGACACGAGCCCGUGCGUGCGUGCGUGCGUGUGCGUCCGUCCUGAACGCGUUUGCGCUGCCGGCUCGAUGGCCUGCUGCCGUUUCACUGUUCAUGCAUGUCCGGUCGAUCGAUCCGUCCGUCGGCGAUUCUGCGUACGGCGCGGUGUGCCAUCGACGGCAGCCGCGCCCACUGACCCGCUGUAUCUAUCGAGCCAUCGGCAUUGUUCACGGAUGGGAUCUGGCGAACGAUCGGCCUUGCUUUGCUUGGUGUGGUUUGCGGUGUUGAUUACUUGAUUGAUUGUCUUUUCUUUGUGGGAUACACUUCCGAUGCUUCUUAUCAUAAUCCAUCGCGGCAGUACAAAUAAAGCCAGAGAUAAUAAAAAUUACAACCAGGUCUAUUGAUCGCCUAACUACGAAUGCAAGCAAGGGAGCGAGCUGAGGGCAUGACGACGUCAUUGCCCCUCCAUCAUCCGGGCCGGGUAGAACUUUAUUGUAGUAGACAAAAGACAAUCAAAAAGUAUAGCACCGACCGAAUUUCAUGAGAUUCAGCGAAAAUACCUCCACAUGUCCUCCAACAAUGCUAGACGUAUCGUUGGUAUUAGGAUAAAACGUAAGAAAAUAUUUCUAUUGAACCACAUCACCGCCGUCACAAAGCCCCAACCAAGACACUUUUUUUUUGCGAGAAACCAACCANNNNNNNNNNNNNNNNNNNNNNNNNNNNNNNNNNNNNNNNNNNNNNNNNNNNNNNNNNNNNNNNNNNNNNNNNNNNNNNNNNNNNNNNNNNNNNNNNNNNAGGGGCCAGCACCGCCUGCACCCGCCGGAGCACCGCCGCUAGCCCAACGCCCGCCACCGCCUACCGCNCACCGCUCGCCGAGGCCUGCCCCCUCGCGCCCGAUCGCGAUCGCCACAAGCCACCGCCGUCAACCACCUAGAUCCACCGCUCGCGGAGGAAGGGGAGCCGGGAGAGGGAGUCCCCCGCCGCCGCCGUCUGCCACACGUGUUUUACCGGCGGCGUCACCCGGAGGCGGCGAGGAGGGGAGGAUGAGAGAGCGGCGGCGGCGCCUAGGGCUUGGGAGCCCCCGAGUCGCCCAGGACGGGGGCGACGCGAGGGGUCUUCCCGUUACUUGUGUCAUGUGAGUUGGACAGUGGAACAAGAAACGGUGAGUUUCUGUAGUACGAUAAUUUUGAGGAUUGGAGUGUAAAGUAAAUCGGUUUCAAAUACUCUGCUGCUCAUAAAUUUCCGAGAGAUAAACACGAUCUGUUGCUCAAGUGUUAAUUCUAGUCUUGUUUGCUCACAAGUCGAUGGUUUUUUCUACUGUCUAUAUUUAUUAGAUAGAAAAACAAGGAGAAGUCAAAUAUAAACCAUAUCGCAUUUGAAAACUUGGUCCUGGACAUGAUCAUUUGAACUGGCGGUUAUCGCAUUUGCAAGUGCCUACAUUCUAUUUCUUUUUGCAAAAUUAGCUUAUCUUGCUGAUUUUUCUACAAACUUCUAUAUAUUCUAGGACAAUGUGAGAUAGUGAAAAUGCUGCUUUCAACUGGAAUUGAUGUUGAUCAUCUCGAUUCUGAGUACGGGACCGCAUUGCAUGCUGCCGCUACUAAUGGUCAAGAUGGCUCAAUGAGUAUUUUGUUGCAGCAUCACGCAGAUGUAAGUCGCCACUUUCUUCGUUCUCUUCUUGGCUGUGCGAAACUAAAUUCGGACUUGUGAAGGCUCUAAUUAAGCGACUGUAUCUCCAGUUCAUAACUAAAUUCGGACUUGUGAAGGCUCUAAUUAAACGGAAAUACUGGGGUCUAUUAGUACUUGGGCUCAAUCUGAACCAAAAGAGUUUAUGUUGGCACAAAGCAAAACAUAUAUACAACAUUUGUCGUUUGACCAUAAGUAAUUCUCCUGAAGUGAAACAUGUUCAUUUUCUCAUAAGUAUUCUAAAUGUUUGUCUGAUUUUAUAAUUAAAUUAAAAAAGUGUUUGCUUAUGUGCAUUGAGAAAUGCAAAUAUGUGUAACACACAAUGCGCUUGUUUUAUUUCCCCAUAUAUUACUCCAUUUUUUACAAGUGAAUAAAUCGAUGUUUCUACUUUCCACAGCCUAAUAAGGUUUUCCGCCUUCAAAGUACCCCGUUAAGUAUGGCCAUAAUUUCUGAAUCGCUGGAAUGUGUGAAGCUACUCGUUAAGGUCAGCAAUCUUUCUCGUUCAUGGAGCUUCCUUUAGUGUAGUCUAUAGACGCAGCUUCAUUUCUCCGUGCAUACAGUUUCUGCAGUUGACAUCUCAAGCACUUGCUCAAAUGAAACUAAAAUUUAUUUACACAGGCUGGCGCUGAUGUGAAUAAAAUUGACUAUACUGGUGUUACUUACUUGAUGGUAGCAGCAACCAAUGGCUUAUCUGAUAUCAUGAAGUGCUUACUGGAUGCUGGGGCUGACCCAGAUGUUGAUGAUGGAGUGAGUCACUGAGUCUUACAUUGUUUUCUCUCCCUCUGCCUUCAUGAUCUACUUUUCAUACGUAUUCUCUUUUCGUAGUUGGCUGAAUGGUUGUGCCUCUGUGGAACAUGUUAGGAUCAAUAGGCUCUAGAGAGAUUGGGAUAAAUGUGCUCAGUCACUUCUUUUACAUCAACUGUACCCAUGCUGCUGGGAAUAUUUUAUUCAUGCAUGAUCAAACACAUUGUUUUAGUAAAUCAUAUCUGUUACUAAGCGAUACAUGGUCUACAGAGAACAUGGAAAAAGUAUUCCGACCAACAUGUUUACUGUGUAGUAUCAAUGGAGCAAAUCACCAUCGUAACAUUUUGCACCGCCUUGGUCAGCAUAUAUCUGCUGCAGUUCUUCCCAGCUGUUGAACUUACUAGUUGCUGCCCACGGAAGACGUUUUGAGUAGGAAUUCUUAGUAAAUCACCAUCCUGUACAAUUAUUUCUUUGCGGAGGCAGCGGAGUACCUUGCAGAGCUUUCAUGAAUUUGUUUAUUGUCAAUCGAGAAAUUCUCCAGUUUCUUCAUUGCCUGGUCAAAUAGACACAAGAUGCUAAUUUUUUCAAAGACUUACUCUUCUAUGUAUGUUGUUGUGUCGAUGGCACAUUCUUUCUCUAUUCUGUUUCGACAAAGGUGCAAUAUAAAAAACAUAUUAGUCUGGGAUUUGGAUUAAUAUUUUUACAGGAUUUAACCUUAGCUUUAUUUUCCGAAUUUAGUGGAGAAGUAUGGACAAGACUAUUCCAUUAUUUGUCCCUGAGCCUUGAUUUUCUCAAAGCCCAUCUAGUUAUGUGGUUGAUAUUGUGGACUUCCCAUAGUAACUAUCAAUGUUGAAAUGCUUUGCUAGCAAUGAUAAUCGAACAUGAAAUCAAUCAUCUCAUUUACUCCUGCAGUUUGGUACAACUCCAAUCGAAAUUGCCGCCCUCCGAGGCAGAUGGGAUAUGGUUGAGAUGUUAUUUCCUUUAACUUCUCCCAUUUCAACAUUGCCGGAUUGGAGUGUUGAUGGAAUUAUUUCUCAUGUGCAAUCUUUUGGUUUGAAGCCGAGGGUAUGUAGUUCCAUUUACAGUUCCAUAGUAUUAUGUAGCAUGGCUAGUAGUCUUCCAUUCUUCUUGUUGUGCUCCUGCAGUUAUGAUUUCUAUUGAUAUUUAUAAUAACAGAAAAAUGUUAUGCAUAAGCGCCCCAUAUUUGAGAAUGUUUUAAUGUCAUUGUUAGGGUCAACUAAGAUUCUAAAUGAAGCUUUCUUUUCUGUGCUUCUGUUGUAUAUAUGCCUUGACCAAAAAUACUUUUUGAUCAGGAUAUACAUCUAUGUGAAAUGAAAAGAGCUGAACUAAAUUUACAAGCUGCUGAGGCUUUUAAGAGAAAGGAAUAUACGAUAGCAGGAGAGCUAUAUACUUGUGUAAGUCACUGAGCCUAGAUGAUUACGAUAGUUACAGUGUCAAAUUAAUCAUGUGCUUGUCAUUCUUAUCUAGGAAGACACUUCACAUUUCGAAAACGCCUAAAAAGUUAAACCCCUUUCUGACUGUUCAGUGUCCUAAUCUAACUGUUUAAGCUGCAGCUAGACUAGAACCACAGUGUCUGAAACAAAGGCAGAUUUGCGUGGCACUAGAGCUGCAUGCUACUAUAGCAGUUGUUUUGCACUGUUUGUCCUCAAAAUACAGUCUGCAUUGUGCUCGCAGUUGCUAUUAUCAUCCAGUUACAUUAGCAGCUGCACCUGAUCUCUUUCUUUAGUACUCCCUCCGUUCGAAAAUAGUUGUCAUGGUUUUAGUUCAAAUUUGAACUCUAACCACGACAAGUAUUUUGGAGCAGAGGGAGUAUAUGUUCUAAUCUUCAUGCAUGAGCCCUUAUUCAAAUGUCCAGUCAGUCAGUAUAGCUAGUGACUAGAGAUAAUUUUUUGGGCACUAGUACAAAAUUUUAGCUUCACGCAAAAUGGUAACAAAAUAGCAUGUAUGUAGUUUUGUGAUCUUCCAGCAACUUGGAAUCUCACACACACACACACACANAAUGCUAUACGCACACAUACAUAUAUAUAUAUAUGUAUGUGUGCGUAUAGCAUUUCCUUAUUAAAACUAACUCAAUGGAAGGUGGCCCUCCGCAGAUUAGUUACCGACAUGAAAAAACUGCUUCGGAGUUGAAUUGCUUAUGUUUUUAGUUAGAUGAACUGUGUGCACAUCCAAAGGUAUUUUGAAUUCCAAAGUUAUCUAUAUUUAUUUCAUAAAAAAUCAGCAUCAUUUUCCAUGUAUCUUUCGUAAAAUUCUGUCAAAAAUCUUAUAUUUGAUUUCAUAAAAAUGAACGGUUUCUCCGUGUCUCGAUCUGGAUUAUCAGAAAUGUUGGCGGGGACGAUGAAAAUGCUGUUACUGUGUUAUGUCAACUACCUUGUAACAAAAUCUGCAUGUGAUUGGUCUAUUGUAGGCAAUGAGUUUUCAGCCCAGUUCAGAAGAUCUUGCAACCCUCCUAGCAAAUAGAAGUUUCUGUAUGUUGCACGCGGGAAUAGGAAAAGAUGCUCUCUCCGAUGCGGCUAAGUGCACGGUGCUACGACGUUUUUGGCCCAGAGGUUACUAUCUACUAGGAGCAGCCUUCAUGUUACUAGAGGUAAAAAGAAAGAAAAAAUCGUUACGGCCAUUCUUUCGUGACCAUGAUCAAAUUGAUCAUCUUCUGGUGUCUACUCACAGGACUAUGGAAAAGCAGCUCUGACUUUUGCAACUGGCUUGAAACUGGACCCUACCGAUGCCGAUAUUGCAAAUGCUUUAAGGUAAUUGUUUGUUCCAUGUCUUCAUGUUUGCGAGGAAUCUUGUGCAGUGCCACCUGCUUGAUUGGUCCCAUAAAUAUAUUAACUAUUUCUUAUAUACUCCCUGUGUUGCUAAAUAUUAGACAUUUUGACAGUUCAAUUUGAACUAGAACUGUAGCUCUGGUUCUCAAAAACAAAGGAAAGAGAGCACCUUGUCAUGUUGCCCUGUGCAUGCCUCUGCUCCGAUCAAUCUCUGGUAAAAGGAGCCAUAUAGAAGUAUGCUUAUACCAAAAAUAUUUUUCGUCGCAGGGAAGCCCGAGCGGCGGCGAGGAAUCCUCCUCGCACCGGGGGGCUGGGGCGCCUUAACCCAUUUGGAAUCAGACGCUCCUGGAGAGACUGAGGCUCUGUUUCGUUGCUAUCUCCAGUCCAGGGUAUGCUUGCCUGUUAUCCUCUUUUCCUAUGUCCAGUCCAGGGUAUGCAUGCCCCGUUAUUAUUCUCUGGAAAGAUUGAGACUCUGUUUCGUUGCUGAAGACUCUGUUUAGUGUUGAACCGUCCAAGACUGCCAAUCUCGUAUGCUAUGUUGUAAGACGUCAUGGGGCACUGAUGGUGUCAACAUGGAUAUAUGUACAUUGUGGUUAUAAACCGUCUCCGUGAACCGUUGUGGUUAUAUAUCGUGUUCGUGAACCCCUGUGAAAUGCGCUUGUCUAUAAUUCCAUUCUUAGAAAGGAAAUGAACAAGUCUUCAUCCACAUUAGUCAAGGUGGAGCUUAAGGCCCUGUUCGGAUUCUCUCCUUCCACAACUGCAGCUCCUUGAGCGGAGGGAACGGUAGCACAAUUUCAGGGAACUGCUCAAACCAAGCUCCUCGCGCGGAGCAGAGUUAUGAGAUUGGAGAGGUUCCGAACAUGCUUUAGGUAGUACAAUACUGGUUAGAGAAAAAGGAUAGCAGACAAAAAAAAAUUGUAGCCUUCUAGGAAGGGGGUCGUAUGGAAAGGGGGAAAUAAUCUGUGUGGAUAACUGGAUUUUGUAUGGGUAUGGCGUUGGGCAUGCUGUAGAAGUCAGUAGACACAUUAGAAUCCUGCCGAGGAUGAAAUACACUGCUUACUGAGGAUAAAGAGAGCACAUCCCUCUUUUCUUGGGGGAAUUUGGCACAUCUCUCUUUUUUUAGUGGAAUUUGGCACAACUCUUGCCAUCACCUUUUGCUGGGUGGUGAAUUUAACUAGAAACCGCACAUAUUGUCAUUCAUGUAAAUGAAUAAGAUCAUGUGUACAUACACGAAAGAACAACCGAGUCAUGUGCACAGAUGAACGCAUACCAGCACGCAAAUGAUAAUUACAAAGUAGUAAUAAUCAUCAUGGGUGCAUGGAACAAGAGAAACUAAAAAGGGAUGGUGGAAUACAAGGAAUGCAAAAAAGAUGCAUCAUCACUAUCUCGCUAGCCGGAUACUAUGCCACUUAUUCUGGAAAUAGCACAUCGUGGCUCCGGACGGGGUCGAUCUCCUCCUCCUUCGGCUGUCAUAUGUGAGCAUCACAUCAAUUGUCAGUCAUCGGCGGCUUGCCCUUCGGAGGCGGCUCGGGCUUGGGUUCGGGUUCAGGCUUGGGCUCUGGCUUAGGCAUGGGUUGAGGCUUGGGCUCUGGUUUUGGCAUUGGGUAAGGCUUGGGCUCUGGCUUUGGCAUCGGCUCGGGCUUAGGCUCCGGCUUUGGCAUCGGCUCUGGCUUGGGUUCAGGUUUUGGCAUCGGCUCGGGCUUGGGCUCUGGCUUUGGUUCGGGUUUUGGCAUCGGUUUAGGCUCAGGCUUCAUCGGCUCGGGUUUGGGCUCUGGCUUUGGUUCGGGUUUUGGCAUCGGCUCUGGUUUGGGCUCUGGCUUUGGUUCGGGUUUUGGCAUCGGCUCUGGUUUGGGCUCAGGCUUAGGUUCAGGUUUUGGCAUCGGCUCGGGCUUGGGCUCUGGCUUUGGUUCGGGUUUUGGCAUCGGCUCUGGUUUGGGCUCUGGCUUUGGUUCGGGUUUUGGCAUCGGCUCUGGUUUGGGCUCAGGCUUAGGCUCAGGUUUUGGCAUCGGCUCUGGCUUGGGCUCAGGCUUAGGCUCAGGUUUGGGCAUGGGGUAAGGCUUGGGCUCAGGCUUCGGUUCGGGUUUCGGCAUCGGCUCGGGCUUGGGCUCUGGCUUUGGUUCGGGUUUUGGCAUCGGCUCGGGCUUGGGCUCUGGCUUUGGUUCCGGUUUCGGCAUCGGUUUAGGCUCUGGCUUCAUCGGCUCGGGUUUGGGCUCAGGUUUCGGUUCUGGUUUAGGCAUGGGCUCAGGUUUCGGUUCUGGUUUAGGCAUAGGCUCAGGUUUGGGCUCAGGUUUCGGUUCUGGUUUAGGCAUCGGCUCGGGCUUGGGUUCUGGCUUUGGCAUCGGCUCCGGCUUGGGUUCCGGCUUGGGCUCUGGCUUUGGCAUGGGUUCAGGCUUAGGCAUAGGUUUGGGCUCCGGCUUUGGCAUGGGUUCAGGCUUAGGCAUAGGUGUGGGCUCCGGCUUCGGCAUGGGUUCAGGUUUAGGCAUAGGCUUGGGCUCCGGGUACGGCGUGGGCUUGGGCUCUGGCUCGGGGAGCUUCUCGGCGAGGCCCCGGCCAGCAGCGGCCGCGAGGCUGAAGCCGGAGGCCGCGAGCAGCCCGACGAGGAGCACGGCAAGGAGGCUGUGCCUCGCCAUUGCUGCUUUCUCGCAGCUGUUGCUGCACUUGUGCUUCACCGCUUCCGAACCUCUCAACGGGCGAUGGAUAGAUAAAGUGGAUGUGGUGUGUGGUUCCUCUGAAUGGUGGUGUGGAGAACCGGAGAUGGCAUAUGUCCCGGCUUUAUAGCGCUGAGCAGCCAAGCAGGCCCAGACGCGUGUGCCA
rnacentral:lncRNA from 1 species